ACGAACGCUGGCGGCGUGGAUAAGACAUGCAAGUCGAACGGGAGAAUUGCUAGCUUGCUAAUAAUUCUCUAGUGGCGCACGGGUGAGUAACACGUGAGUAACCUGCCUCUUAGUGGGGGAUAGCCCUGGGAAACCGGGAUUAAUACCGCAUACGAUUGAAAGAUCAAAGCAGCAAUGCGCUAGGAGAUGGGCUCGCGGCCUAUUAGUUAGUUGGUGAGGUAACGGCUCACCAAGGCGAUGACGGGUAGCCGGUCUGAGAGGAUGUCCGGCCACACUGGAACUGAGACACGGUCCAGACACCUACGGGUGGCAGCAGUCGAGAAUCAUUCACAAUGGGGGCAACCCUGAUGGUGCGACGCCGCGUGGGGGAAUGAAGGUCUUCGGAUUGUAAACCCCUGUCAUGUGGGAGCAAAUUAAAAAGAUAGUACCACAAGAGGAAGAGACGGCUAACUCUGUGCCAGCAGCCGCGGUAAUACAGAGGUCUCAAGCGUUGUUCGGAAUCACUGGGCGUAAAGCGUGCGUAGGCUGUUUCGUAAGUCGUGUGUGAAAGGCAGGGGCUCAACCCCUGGAUUGCACAUGAUACUGCGAGACUAGAGUAAUGGAGGGGGAACCGGAAUUCUCGGUGUAGCAGUGAAAUGCGUAGAUAUCGAGAGGAACACUCGUGGCGAAGGCGGGUUCCUGGACAUUAACUGACGCUGAGGCACGAAGGCCAGGGGAGCGAAAGGGAUUAGAUACCCCUGUAGUCCUGGCAGUAAACGGUGCACGCUUGGUGUGCGGGGAAUCGACCCCCUGCGUGCCGGAGCUAACGCGUUAAGCGUGCCGCCUGGGGAGUACGGUCGCAAGAUUAAAACUCAAAAAAAUUGACGGGGACCCGCACAAGCGGUGGAGUAUGUGGCUUAAUUCGAUGCAACGCGAAGAACCUUACCUGGGCUUGACAUGUAAUGAACAACAUGUGAAAGCAUGCGACUCUUCGGAGGCGUUACACAGGUGCUGCAUGGCCGUCGUCAGCUCGUGUCGUGAGAUGUUUGGUUAAGUCCAGCAACGAGCGCAACCCCUGUUGCCAGUUACCAGCACGUCAAGGUGGGGACUCUGGCGAGACUGCCCAGAUCAACUGGGAGGAAGGUGGGGACGACGUCAGGUCAGUAUGGCCCUUAUGCCCAGGGCUGCACACGUACUACAAUGCCCAGUACAGAGGGGGCCGAAGCCGCGAGGCGGAGGAAAUCCUGAAAACUGGGCCCAGUUCGGACUGUAGGCUGCAACCCGCCUACACGAAGCCGGAAUCGCUAGUAAUGGCGCAUCAGCUACGGCGCCGUGAAUACGUUCCCGGGUCUUGUACACACCGCCCGUCACAUCAUGGAAGCCGGUCGCACCCGAAGUAUCUGAAGCCAACCGCAAGGAGGCAGGGUCCUAAGGUGAGACUGGUAACUGGGAUG
rnacentral:rRNA from 1 species